GGUUACUCCGUGGCUGUGGGAGACUUCAAUGGCGAUGGCGUAGAAGAUUUUGUGUCAGGAGUUCCAAGAGCAGCGAGGACUUUGGGAAUGGUUUAUAUUUACGAUGGGAAAAACAUGUCCUCCUUAUACAAUUUCACUGGUGAACAGGUA